rnacentral:rRNA from 1 species
GAAGUGGGUAGUCCGCACGAGCGCACCCUACCUUAAUUGCCAUCGGGUUAUGCCGGGCACUUUAGGGGGACUGCCGGUGACAAGCCGGAGGAGGGUGGGGAUGACGUCAAGUCCUCAUGGCCCUUAUGGGUAGGGCUACACACGUGAUACAAUGGGUGGUACAGAGGGUCGCCAAAGCGCGAGCUGGAGCCAAACCCUUAAAACCAUUCUUAGUCCGGAUUGGAGUCUGCAACUCGACUCCAUGAAGUUGGAAUCGCUAGUAAUCGCGAAUCAGAAUGUCGCGGUGAAUACGUUCUCGGGCCUUGUACACACCGCCCGUCACGUCAUGGAAGUGGGUUGCACCAGAAGUGGCUUGUUUAACCUUCGGGAAAACGGUCACCACGGUGUGAUUCACAACUGGGACGAAGUCGUAACAAGGUAGCCCUAGGGGAACCUGGGGCUGGAUCACCUCCUU